UACGGAGGGUGCAAGCGUUAUCCGGAUUUACUGGGUUUAAAGGGUGCGUAGGCGGAUUAGUAAGUCAGUGGUGAAAGCCCAUCGCUUAACGGUGGAACUGCCAUUGAUACUGCUAGUCUUGAGUAUGGUUGAGGUGGGCGGAAUGUGUCAUGUAGCGGUGAAAUGCUUAGAUAUGACCCAGAACACCAAUUGCGAAGGCAGCUCGCUAAGCCAUAACUGACGCUGAGGCACGAAAGCGUGGGGAGCAAACAGG
rnacentral:rRNA from 1 species